AGUUUUCAUUUGUGGUUAACAUUUCAAUACGAGGAAUUUCAGUGUUAUUUUUUUAAUUUGUGUUAUUUUUAUUAUCAAGAUAAAAUCUUUGUUUUAACUUCAAAAGGAAUCUAUCUUUAUUGCAAUAAAAAUCUACAUUAAGCUAUGACACGAUUUCAUAUAUCUUAAAAUUAAAUGGAAUAUAUUCAUCCGAAUAUAAAUGGUAAAGUUUGCUAAGAAUUUUUAAAGUCCAUUAAUGCAGCGAAAUGGAUUAUCUAGUCUGUUAUUGGAUCAAAUUAUGUGUGGAUUUGGCUGGCUGUUGUGUCUAUUCCCAUGACUUGACCGCCUUUCAUGCUCGUAUUGUUAGCGAUUUCGCAUGAAGUCGAAUCGAAGAUAAGUUUAGUUUUAACCUUGCAUUAUGUUCAUAAAUCAACGCGCGAGCUCAAAGAGCAGCAGUCACAGCAAAUUGCUAACAUCCGGGUAAUUUGAAUAAAAUUCUGUUUAUCACUCGGGACGCGGCGGCGCAAACAAAAAUGGCUCAGGCUCUGA